AUACGGAGGAUGCGAGCGUUAUCCGGAUUUAUUGGGUUUAAAGGGAGCGUAGGUGGGAUAUUAAGUCAGCUGUGAAAGUUUGGGGCUCAACCUUAAAAUUGCAGUUGAUACUGGUUUCCUUGAGUACGGUAUAGGUGGGCGGAAUUCGUGGUGUAGCGGUGAAAUGCUUAGAUAUCACGAAGAACUCCGAUCGCGAAGGCAGCUCACCGGGCCGGAACUGACACUGAUGCUCGAAAGUGCGGGUAUCAAACAGGAUUAGAUACCCUGGUAGUCCGCACAGUAAACGAUGAAUACUCGCUGUUUGCGAUACACUGUAAGCGGCCAAGCGAAAGCGUUAAGUAUUCCACCUGGGGAGUACGCCGGCAACGGUGAAACUCAAAGGAAUUGACGGG
rnacentral:rRNA from 1 species